rnacentral:rRNA from 1 species
AAUGUAUAGUUAAAACUAUAUGUUUUUUUUUGUAAAAAAAACAUAUUUGAUUUAUUCUUAUAAAGUUCUAGAUAGAAUUUGAUAAUGACAUUAUCUAUCUAUUAGUCUUGACCAACAUGCGUGCCAGCAGUCGCGGCAAGACGCUAAAGACAAGUGUUAUUCAUCUUAAAUGGGUUUAAAGGGUACCUAGACGGUAAAUUAAGCCGAAGGGGACUGAUUUAGCUAGAGUUAGAUGUAAGGGUGCGAAGGUACUGUUGAGUGUAGAGAUGAAAUUCUGUCAUACCAGAUUAUUGGCACGGGUUUAGGGAAGGCAUCACCUUAUGUAAUAACUGACGUUGAGGGACGAAGGCUUUGUGUAGCUAAAAGGAUUAGAUACCCAAGUAGUCUAAGCAGAAAAUGAUGAAUGUCAUAGGUUAAAUAUUAUUUAGUCUAUAAAUGAAAGUGUAAGCAUUCCACCUCGAGAGUAAUUUGGCAACAUUGGAAUUGAAAUCAUUAGACCGUUUCUGAAACCAGUAGUGAAGUAUGUUGUUUAAUAGAUGGUCCACAAAAAACCUUACCACAACUUGAAUAUCUUACAAGCGCUGCACGGCUGUCUUCAGUUAUACUGUGGUUAGUUCCAUUAAAUUAACGUAAACCUUUAUUUUAUAUAAAGUAGUUCGCCGUUAUAUUGGUUAGAUAAAAUUGGUUAGAUAAA